GAUGAACGCUGGCGGCGUGCUUAACACAUGCAAGUCGAACGAAGCACUUUAUUUGAUUUCCUUCGGGACUGAUUAUUUUGUGACUGAGUGGCGGACGGGUGAGUAACGCGUGGGUAACCUGCCUUGUACAGGGGGAUAACAGUUGGAAACGGCUGCUAAUACCGCAUAAGCGCACGGCAUCGCAUGAUGCAGUGUGAAAAACUCCGGUGGUAUAAGAUGGACCCGCGUUGGAUUAGCUAGUUGGUGAGGUAACGGCCCACCAAGGCGACGAUCCAUAGCCGACCUGAGAGGGUGACCGGCCAGAUUGGGACUGAGACACGGCCCAAACUCCUACGGGAGGCAGCAGUGGGGAAUAUUGCACAAUGGGCGAAAGCCUGAUGCAGCGACGCCGCGUGAGCGAAGAAGUAUUUCGGUAUGUAAAGCUCUAUCAGCAGGGAAGAUAAUGACGGUACCUGACUAAGAAGCACCGGCUAAAUACGUG
rnacentral:rRNA from 1 species